CCCCAUCACGAUGAAAUUUCCC
rnacentral:miRNA from 1 species